GUCCCCAUCGACUAGUGGCCUAGGUCACGGCCCUUUCAAGGCCGAAACGGGGGUUCGAAUCCCCCUGGGGACG
rnacentral:tRNA from 1 species